CUGCUCACUUUGGCAGCACGUAUACUAAAAUUGGAACGAUAUGGAGGUUCGCAUGGCCCCUCACAAGGAUGACACACAGACUCGUGAAGCGUACUGUAUUUUU
rnacentral:snRNA from 1 species